rnacentral:rRNA from 1 species
UAGGGAAUCUUCCGCAAUGGGCGAAAGCCUGACGGAGCAACGCCGCGUGAGUGAUGAAGGUCUUCGGAUCGUAAAACUCUGUUAUUAGGGAAGAACAAAUGUGUAAGUAACUAUGCACGUCUUGACGGUACCUAAUCAGAAAGCCACGGCUAACUACGUGCCAGCAGCCGCGGUAAUACGUAGGUGGCAAGCGUUAUCCGGAAUUAUUGGGCGUAAAGCGCGCGUAGGCGGUUUUUUAAGUCUGAUGAGAAAGCCCACGGCGCAACCGUGGAGGGUCAUUGGAAACUGGAAAACUUGAGUACAGAAGAGGAAAGUGGAAGUCCAUGUGUAGCGGUGAAAUGCGCAGAGAUAUGGAGGAACACCAGUGGCGAAGGCGACUUUCUGGUCUGUAACUAACGCUGAUGUGCGAAAGCGUGGGGAUCAACCAGG